rnacentral:piRNA from 1 species
UGAGCCUAAGGGAUGGUUUUGUGCAG